rnacentral:misc_RNA from 1 species
AAGUCGUAACAAGGUUUCCGUAGGUGAACCUGCGGAAGGAUCAUUACAGAGUAAGGGUCUUCUAGGCCCGACCUCCCAACCCUUUGUUUACCAAACCAUCGUUGCUUCGGCGGGCCCGUCUCAGGACCGCCGGAGGACCGUCAGACGUCCUCUGGCCCGCGCCCGCCGAUAGCCCCUAUCAUUAAACUCUGAACAAACGUGUCCUGUCUGAGUGAUUAUUAUCAAAAUUAAAGCAAAAACUUUCAACAACGGAUCUCUUGGUUCUG